AUUGAACGCUGGCGGCAGGCCUAACACAUGCAAGUCGAACGGUAACAGGAAGCAGCUUGCUGCUUCGCUGACGAGUGGCGGACGGGUGAGUAAUGUCUGGGAAGCUGCCUGAUGGAGGGGGAUAACUACUGGAAACGGUAGCUAAUACCGCAUAAUGUCGCAAGACCAAAGAGGGGGACCUUCGGGCCUCUUGCCAUCGGAUGUGCCCAGAUGGGAUUAGCUUGUUGGUGGGGUAACGGCUCACCAAGGCGACGAUCCCUAGCUGGUCUGAGAGGAUGACCAGCCACACUGGGACUGAGACACGGUCCAGACUCCUACGGGAGGCAGCAGUGGGGAAUAUUGCACAAUGGGCGCAAGCCUGAUGCAGCCAUGCCGCGUGUAUGAAGAAGGCCUUCGGGUUGUAAAGUACUUUCAGCGGGGAGGAAGGGAGUAAAGUUAAUACCUUUGCACAUUGACGUUACCCGCAGAAGAAGCACCGGCUAACUCCGUG
rnacentral:rRNA from 1 species